GGUUCUUGACACGUUUAUAUUUGUAUUGGGUGACAUCAAUUGUUGCGCACGCAACGCAGUUACAAUUGAAUUUUCUUUUUGUCAUUUGUUUUCAACAUGUAACUAAUCAACUUGUAAGACAAACGAGGGCCAAAACAGACAAAACAAUCCCCUGAAAUUAAGGCAAAGAAAACGAGGAAAGUAUCCAUCUUCAUAAAUAAACACUCGUCCAAUUAAUAGGAUGAAGAACACCGAGUACCUUUUCGAGCAUUAACGUCAUUGCAAUCCGUUACUUGCCAUUCGUCUGAAUUUGUCUUUUUAUUCUAUUGUGUCAAGAAAAUUUUCACCGAAACUGUUUUGUAUACACCUUGCACUAAUUUGUGUGUUGUAUACAAAACUCUUAACAAUGGGUGUGAUCU
rnacentral:lncRNA from 1 species